GGUGUCCAUAGAGAGCACCCCAAAGAGGUAUGCAGGAAGCAGAGAAAUGUAAAGGCACAAAGGUGAAAAAUGGCGCAGUUGGAAGCAGUGGUAAGAGAAUGUCUUCCGGCUCUCGGCUGAAAGAGAAGACAGAAGAGACACAGAAGAGAAAGGCACCCUCUACUUCACCUACUUCUCCUGAUCCUGUAGUUAAGCCACAGCCCCGGCCCAGCGACCGGCUUAAUCCAAAGACAAUUGAUCCCUUUGGUGCCCC